UGGGGAAUAUUGCACAAUGGAGGGAACUCUGAUGCAGCGACGCCGCGUGAACGAAGAAGGCUUUCGAGUCGUAAAGUUCUUUUAUAUGGGAAGAUAAUGACGGUACCAUAAGAAAAAGCCCCGGCUAACUACGUGCCAGCAGCCGCGGUAAUACGUAGGGGGCUAGCGUUGUCCGGAAUCACUGGGCGUAAAGGGUUCGCAGGCGGAAAUGCAAGUCAGGUGUAAAAGGCAGUAGCUUAACUACUGUAAGCAUUUGAAACUGCAUAUCUUGAGAAGAGUAGAGGUAAGUGGAGUUUUUAGUGUAGCGGUGAAAUGCGUAGAUAUUAAAAAGAAUACCGGUGGCGAAGGCGGCUUACUGGGCUCAUUCUGACGCUGAGGAACGAAAGCGUGGGUAGCAAACAGG
rnacentral:rRNA from 1 species